CUAAUCUGAAUUAUUGAACCAGCCACAAUAAUUCCAACAAAGGAUUUAUAAUAAGUCCAAGAAAGCUGAGGUAUCACUGGAAUUCCCUGUAAGCAACACUGACAUACUUUAUCACAUGUAAAAUCCUCAAAUUUAAUGUACAGUACUGGAAUAUGUCCCAUAGGUAUUUUAUAUUUUCUGUGGCUUUAAGUCCUAAGCAACUGCCAUUAUGAAGGGGAAUCAAGACUGCUAAGCAGGGGGAAGAAAGGACCAUGUUAUAGCUAGCAACACAGUGGUGAGCUCUCUGGAUUGUGGAGUGUUCCGUGUGCUCUGGUUCCUGUCAAGAUUGCUCCUCACUCCUCAUGGGUCCCAGCAACAACAACAUGGACACCAUCACUAGCAGAAGCUUUUGCAAGUAUCCAAUUACAACUUAGACACUCUACAAGGAAAUUGCAUUGACCCAGCACCCCCCCGGAUGCAAAGUCUUGUCUCAGUACUUCUCACGCUAGCAGAGGGCAGUUCCUCCAUGGGAAAUAACCUUCAGUCAGAAAAAUUGAUGAGACCUCAUUCAAGAGUGGUGUUAGGGCCCUUUCAAGAUAAACAAAAAAUUUUAAGUCUACAUGCUCAUUAAAAUAGCAACAACAACAAUACAAGAUAAAACCAGAAAAACUUCGUGUUUGUGGAUUUUUGUUUCACUCAACUUAGUGCGCUAAUAAACAGAGACACAGAGAAUUGAAAAGUAGACGUCUUAGGAACUGACCUUUUUUCUGAGGAACCUAAACAAGCCGAC
rnacentral:lncRNA from 1 species